AUUUAGCUGAUUUCAGUUGCGUAUUUGCGCUGUGUGGGUUUGAUCUGUGGCUCAGAUUGAACGCUGUGGCGGGAUGCUUUACACAUACCAAGUCGAACGGCACGGACUUCGGUCUGGUGGCGGUGGCGAACGGAGUGAGUGUCAUAUCGGAACAUUACUAGUAGCGAGAUAACUACCGCGAAAGCGUGCGCUGUCUACGCCUGCCCUUCGGGGAAAGCAGAGGACCUUCGACCUCACGGCACUAUUAAGGAAGCCGAUAUCGGAUUAGCUAGUUGGUGGGGUAACGGCUCACCAAGGCGACGAUCGUAGCUGGAUUUGAAGGACGAUAAGCCACUGGGACUGAGACUGGCCAGGAGCUCACGGGAGGCAGCAGUGGGAAUUUUUGGACAAUGGAAACCUGAUCCAGCCAUCCGCGUGAUGCGCGUCUGAAGGCUGCCUUCAGGUUGUAAAGCACUUUUGGCAGAGAAAGAAACGGCUGGGAUAAUACCCCGUGCAACUGACAAUUAUUACAGAUAAGCACCGGCUAACUGCGUGCCUAACCCAAUGGCCGCGGUAAUACGUAGGGUGCAAGCGGUCAAUCAGAGAUUACUGGGCGUAAAGCGUGCAGGCGGUUCGGAAGAAGAUGUGAAAUCCCAGAGCAGCACUUUGGAACGUGCAUUUUUAACUACCGAGCUAGAGUGUGUCAGAGGGAGGUGGAAUUCCGCGUGUAGCGGUAAAUCGUGAAUAUCGCGAAGGAAUUACCGAUGGCGAAGGCAACUCUGGGAUAUGACGCUCAUGCAGCAGUAGGGAGCAAACAGGAUUAGAUACCCUGGUAGUCCACGCGCUAUAAACGAUGUCAACUAGCUGUUGUAGGGACUGGGCCUUGGUAGCGCAGCUAACACAUAUUGAAGUUGACCGCGCAGGAGUACGGUCGCAGUUAAAACUCAAGGUGAGCGAGGUUGCGCACAAGCGGUGGAUGAUGUGGAUUAAUUCGAUGCAACGCGAAAAACCUUACCGCAUGACAUAUCUGGAAUCCCGAAGAGAUUUGGGAGUGCUCGCAAGAGAACCGGAACACAGGUGCUGCAUGGCUGUCGUCAGCUCGUGUCGUGAGAUGUUGGGUUAAGUCCCGCAACAGCGCAACCUUGUGUCAUUAGUUGCUACGAAGGGCACUCUAAUGAGACUGCCGGUGACAAACCGGAGAAGAUUGGGGACGUCAAGUCCUCGUAACCUUAUGGGUAGGGCUUGCGUCUUACAAUGGUCGAGACGGUCGCCUUCUUCGCGAGGAGCCAAUCGAAACGAUCGUAGUCGGGAUCGCAGUCUGCAACUGUCGACUGCGUGAGGUGAAUCGCUUCGUAAUCGCGGAUCAGCAUGUCGCGGUGAAUACGUUCCCGGGUCUUGUACACCGCCCGUCACACCAUGGGUGGGUUUCACCAAGUAGUUAGCUAACCGUAAGGAAGGGCGAUUGCCACGGUAGGAUCAUGACUGAGGUGGAAAGUCAUGCUUGGGUAG
rnacentral:rRNA from 1 species